ensembl:lncRNA
AUGCCCAAACAUACACACUACACAUACACACACACAUACGCGCUCUCACGACCAGGCAUGAUUGCUCCAUUAGGAGGUUCCUCAGCUGUGGCCGUUUCUCACACACUCGCAUACAGCUGCGAACACACAAUUAUAGCCUACUUUGACCCUCACCCACAGACGCUCGCUCGCUUACGCACAGACGCACCUUUGAGAGUAUUAGUUCACAUCCCCAUCAGACCUCUGGGUGUUUCGAGAGAGGCCACAGGCAUAUACAAAGCUUUUUGUAGCUUAUUUGGGUCACCAUCUGACAUCAAACAUGCUGUCCACUGCUAUCUCACAUCAACUGAUGCGUGACCAGGAAAAGGAAAUGUGAGUGUGAUAUUUAUCAGUGUGUUCUGCUGCAAGGUGCUUCACAUUGACAAACUUGAUCUCAUUAAAACAUCAGCAAACUCUUAAAUUCUUAGAUAAAACUCAGUUCUGGACUUUUCAACUGACUUGUUGAAAACAGCAGGCCAAGAACCUCCAUCUUCUUGUUUUUUGAUUCAUUUGCAUUAGCGCUGAAUCUGAACUUUUUGCACUAAAGAUUUUUUUUAACUGUUUACACCAGUGAUUCUCAAC